UAUAAACGUAUAUCAUUUUUAUUAGAUUACACAAUUUCAAAAUAAGUUGCGCGCAACACACAUAGGCGCUUUUUUUUACCUUUUUUUGAAAAGGUAAUUUUGUACUGUAAACACUUACCCGAUUAAAAGUUUAUUCUAAUUCUUCAUAUUAAUAAAUAAAUAAAUAAAUCAAUUAAUGUCCCAUCACGCGUGAUUGCACAGUGAUAUCAUCUGCGCUCACACUUGUGCCCCCAUCACGUUGUGAAGGCGAUAUGAUAGCGUUCUCACACGCACGAUGUGAUAAUCACGCGUGAGAGCAAUAUGAGCCUUCAUCAAUUGUUAUUUCGGUUAUAUUACGUCGAUGCAGAUGAAAUGGCCGUUUUUUAAUUUAAGUUUCAGACAAAUUUAAAACUUGUUUUAUUAAUCAAAAUAGUGUCUAUUUACUUCAAUGAACUUCUGCCAAUGUGAUACAAAUGCAUCAAUUCCGUUCAUAAAAAAAUUAAAAUGACGUCAUUAAUGAUGAAGGAUGGAUACUCACGAGGUAAAAUAUCGAGAUAUGAUCCUCUGUAUGGAAGAAAAGUGAUCUAUAGGGGUGAGAAAUUCAAAAUACUGUAAACGGCCAUUUUAUUUGCACCAAGUUAAUAUAAUGUGAGUUAUAUAUUCCUUCUGUUUUUUAUUUGCUUAUUUAUUCAAAUUCAAAGAGGAAUAUUUUUUAUCCUUGUUUUAUAUUUUUAUAUUAAAUUAUUUUAAGAACUUUUGUUUUUAAGAAAUAAAGAUUUAGAAAUAAAAAUAUAAACAUAUUGUUUUCAUAUUUUGCUCAAUAGCGAUAUUAUCUAACAACUAUCUAGGUAAAAUCAUAUUUAAUUGUAUCUUUUAUCUAAAUAAAUUAAAAUUAAAUUACCUUAUAUAAGAUCCAUUUACAUGUACAUGUUUAUCUUUAAAUAAUUUUAAGUUAUCUAAACGUAACACUGUAUGCAGAGUGACCCAUUUUAAUCCAACCACGCAAAUAACUCCGAAGAUAUAGGUGAUAGCGAAAAAUAAUCCCUACAAAAGUUGUAGGGUUCAAAUUUGGCCACGCGAUGAUAAUCUUGAACUUGAUCUUGGAGUCAAUUUUCACGGUUGUUUCAAGAUCAACUAAUUUUUUUUAAAUUGAACACUUUAUGUUUGAUUCCAGAAUGUAAUAGCUGGUUUUAAAAGCUUUUUAAAGCACUAUAAUAAAGUUAUUUUUUCUUAAGUACUUUUUGAGUUAUGAGGCUUGAAAGUUAAUUUCUCAAGAAAUACACUUUAGAUCAAAAAAUUAAAAAACAGGUGUUUGAUAUUUUUUUGAAAAGUUAUCUAAUGAUAACCAUAUAUUUUUAUCAUACCGCCGGCUUUAGCGUUGCCUGAUAUACACAGCGAGAAGGCAGUACGGUCGGAUUUUGUACAUCAUGUAGCCCUUAAAAGGGCUGAUAUUAUAGUUAAUGUUUAAGCAAAGAGGUGCUUAAAAGUGAAACCGUUAACUUGUUGACAAAACUGGAUUCAGCGUUGAAAGUGCGUAACAGUAUGCAAAGAAAGUGUCACGUCAAUAUUGUUGCACGCUAUUUGAAUUCUUUAAAUCAUGUGAGCUCUGGUGGUUGGUCUUUCUCGAUAGACAUAAUCUUUGAGGAAGCCCCACAAGUACAAGUCAAGAGCAGUUAUAUCUAGUGACCUUGAUGGCCAUCCAAUGGGACCUACCUCCUCUACCUAUCUACUUUUCAGGAUACAUUUCAUUGAGGUAGUGCAAAAUGUGGAACACCAUCUUGCUAAAACUACAUUCUCAUUUUUUGCGUGCAAUAAUAUUACACGCGACACUCUUUUGCGUACAGUUACGCAAACGUUUCAACGUUUAAUCCAGCUUCAUCAACAGAUUAACGGUGCCACUUUUGAACAUUUCGUUGCUUAAACAUCAACUAUAACAUCAAGGCUCUUUAAGGGCUAUAUGAUGUACAAAAUCCGACCGUGCUAUCUCGCGGUGUACAUCGGGCAAUGCUAAAGCCGGCUAAAAUAAUAAAAAAAUAUGGCCAUUAGAUAACUUUUCAAAAAAAUUUUAAACAUUGUUUUUAAAAUUUUUUUAUCUAAAGUGUAUUUUUUAAGAAAUUAACUUUCAACCUUGAAAAAUACUUUAAAAAAAAUAAAUUUAUUAUAGUGUUUUGAAAAGCUCUUGACACCAGCUAUUAGAUUCUGGAAUCAAAAAUAGGGUGUUCAGUUUAAAAAAGUUGACCUUGAACUGACUUUGAAAAUCAACUCCAAGGUCAUGUUCAAGAUUAAGAUCAUCAUCUGGUGGCCCCCUUUGAACCCUACAACUUUUGUAGAGGUUAUAGGUGAGAUAAGGUAUUCUAAACAAUUAGCAUAUUUAUAAAUAACAAAUUAUUUAUUAUAUAUUGCUUAAAUUUUGAAGAUGGUAAUAUUAAAAGUUCCUGUGUGUUAAAAGAUAUAGGUAUACAUAAAUGAAAAGUGAUUCCUUUUUUUUACUUUGGAGAAUUUUUUCAAGUAUUGAGAUUUUACUGACAUAAUAUGGUAAUAA